rnacentral:lncRNA from 1 species
UCUGACCGAAUUUGCUUAUCUGACAUUUUUUUCAGAUGUUGCAACCUUGGGCGAUCGGUUCGUUGGAUUCUUGAAACCAAUGCCUUUUCUGAAGUAAGUCUGGCAUGCAAGGUGCCCUCACGGUUUAUUUCCAAGAUGGCGCUGGGAUCUCGGGGACGUGCCAGACGGCGUCGCGUUCCUGCACCUUGGGGAUGGCUUGGGUCGAAUUCUCCUCCAUGCAAUCUUGUGCUCCUUUGGUAUGUGUGGCUUCUCCCAUCUUCCUCAUAUUUUCUUCUGCUCACUGCUGUAGCCUCACUAUGCAUCCUGGAGCGACACCAUGUAUUCUAGAGCUGCUACAUGAACACAAUGAAACACCUGACCUUCAAAGAAAAUGAUAUAGCUGGCCAAUUUGGUUUGGAGUUUGCAGGAGGCUUUCAGAUGUUUUUCUAUGUUACAUACCCCGCGUUAGCCAACAAAAUAAGUCGAUAUUCUGUAUGGAUAUAGGAUUUGCAUAUUUUCUAUUGUUUCUAGCAAAUACAGACUAAGUCUCUGAUUAUCUGCAGAGUGUUUCUAAUCUUUCUGCCUUCUAGUGUAAAUAGAGGUAUGGUGCCUAGAGUUCAACUAUUUAUCCUAUGUAGUAUAAUUGACAUUUAAGUUAUACAACCUUUCCAGAUUUCUCAAUAUCAUGCCUAGAGCUUAUAAUCCUUUCUUUGAAGAUCCAUAGCCAGACUUUGAAACUGUUACACAUACAUAAAUUAAACUAGCCGCCUAUAGUAUGAGUAUUAUAUAGAUUUGUAUGUAUGUGGUUACUUUGUUCUGUGGCAAAAGGGUUCAAGGCUAGCAUUUUUUUAAAUAUAGCAUAUUCAUAUAAAUUUUCUUGCAAUUCUAACUAUGAAAUCCACAUUCAUUCGGUAGUUUUUCUGUAACAAUAUAAAUGAUCUUUCAGUCGCAAUGCCAGUAUUUAGAACUAAAUUUGAUGGGCCUAAAUUCCCCUUGGACCCCCACCCCCUCAUUAUAUUCCUAUAUCUCCAAUCUCCUUUCUCCACUAGCUAUCACAGAAUAGAGAUCACAUCAUGAAUUUAUUUUUUGUCAGAGAUAUUCUCCCAUCGCUAUUGGCUGUCAAAUUUGGGAUGCAAUCCAUCCGCAUGUCGGCACAAUCAGCAGAACAAAGCAGCUACCAUGAUUUGCCCAUUGAUCUCUUGGAGUGAUUCAAACCUGCAAGCACCAGGGUAAGAAGUUUCGGUUUUCUUAUUAAUGAAACUGAUUUUGUAAGGUUAGAACAAUGUCAGUUUGCUUUUAUGUUGGUUUUCUAAUUUCUACAUAUUCCUUUCUUACGGAUUCUGCCUUCAAGGAAAUCUAAUUAUCUAGGUAGUAUGGAAAAGCAAGCAAAUUAUAUAACUAUUUGGGUAUACUCAUGCUCUACUAUGUCAAAUUGAGGAGAAAUAAUUAUUUUGUUCACCCAUCUUAUUUUUUCCCACGUAAUGACUCAUGCCCUACUAUGUCAGAUUGAGUGACUCCUGCAUAUGAUGACUGAAGAAUUUUUCAUCAAUUUUCCAACCUGAAUUAGAUACAGAAUUUGGGAAAAGAGGAGUCCAUGCUCUGAUGAACACACCGUCUUUCCCAGGUAACUAAUAGCUGGCACCUCUACAUUUAUGUUAUAUCAGGCCAGCGCCACAAAGUCCCUGUAUGCGUCUGCCUGCCUACAUUGAUGGGCGAUCCGGUCGCAAAAAAAUGGAUAAAAAUAUACAUCAGUUUGUCAAAAUACAUGUUGGUUAUCUUACGAACGAUUAUAGCUAUUGCCAGAGUACAAGAAAAUAUGUUACAAAUUUUCCUUGAAGGAAACUUGUAUUAUGAUUAUUACAUUUUGAUCUUGGAGCUAUGGUCGACUUUAGUAGAUGGUUACUUUAGUCUGCACCAGUCAAAUAUUUUCUAGUUACAUGUCUGAGCACCAUCGGGAUAACCUGAUUAUUAUGUCACAAGCUUGCUAUUUCUAUUUGUGCAAAUUCUGUAGUUAUUUCAGUGUUUUGCAUGAUGCAUAAGUUUUUUCACAACAGAAAGAAGUGGAUGUACAACUUGAUUCUGCUUUAUUAUUUAGUACCAGUUAACUUUGUAAAUCCCGGUUUCUCUAGUAUUGUAACUGUCAAAUCGUCAAGUUAACCUGAUUUUUCUCUUUGGACAGCUUGCAAUUUGUAAUAUUAUGAUUUUCCUUUUGCAGAAACCACUUCAACUAGCCCAGGACUGUGUCUAUUAGUCCUCCGGUAUUUCUUGAGAUGACACAUUGUAUGAUAGGUAACAAGCAACUGAAGCAAGAAGAUUUUUUAAAUUUCUUGGAAAGUAUAACCACCUUAACCCAGGAUGCAAGAUGAAGGAUCCAAUAUGUCAGGACCAACGAGGGAAUUGCAGUAUGUCAGAACCAAUGAGAGAAUUGUAGAGCUUCAUAUUAAGUUUAUUUUAGCUACUUGCCCGCUUCAAGUGUCUAGAUUACAGGAAACAUGUUUCUUUAAGUGACAAACCUGGAUACCAAUUUAUUCAAACUAUUAUGUUUCUUAUAGAAGUAAUGCAAUAUAUUCUCUCUCUUGUGCCUAUUUGAAAUACCGUUGUGGGUCUGUACUUUGCAUCUCAUAUUGCAAGGAUAAACAUUGUAUGCAUACUCUCUCUCUUAACUGUAGCAAGCAUGGAGCAGGAAAGAGUGAUGAACCUUCUAAUAUGGAUAUUGUACAUGUAUGAGCUACGGGUCACUAUUGUUUAUCAUAUGGAUUGUAGAUGUAGCAACAUUGAAAUUUAUAAC